rfam:Methanosarcina acetivorans str. C2A, complete genome.
UAGGGCCCAGAGACCUCCCUGUCCGCUCAGGGAAACAUCUCAGCCGACUGCGCAGGCGGGAUGCAGAGCACUGACAGCCACGAGGUCUCGCAACUUAACG